GGGGAUCCUCUAGAGAUUCGCGGCCUAUCAGCUUGUUGGUGGGGUAAUGGCCUACCAAGGCGACGACGGGUAGCCGGCCUGAGAGGGUGUCCGGCCACACUGGGACUGAGAUACGGCCCAGACUCCUACGGGAGGCAGCAGUGGGGAAUAUUGCACAAUGGGCGCAAGCCUGAUGCAGCGACGCCGCGUGGGGGAUGACGGCCUUCGGGUUGUAAACCUCUUUCAGUAGGGACGAAGCGCAAGUGACGGUACCUACAGAAGAAGGACCGGCCAACUACGUGCCAGCAGCCGCGGUAAUACGUAGGGUCCGAGCGUUGUCCGGAAUUACUGGGCGUAAAGAGCUCGUAGGUGGUUUGUCGCGUUGUUCGUGAAAUCUCACAACUCAAUUGUGAGCGUGCGGGCGAUACGGGCAGACUGGAGUACUGCAGGGGAGACUGGAAUUCCUGGUGUAGCGGUGGAAUGCGCAGAUAUCAGGAGGAACACCGGUGGCGAAGGCGGGUCUCUGGGCAGUAACUGACGCUGAGGAGCGAAAGCGUGGGGAGCGAACAGGACUAGAUACCCUGGUAGUCCACGCCGUAAACGGUGGGUACUAGGUGUGGGUUUCCUUCCUUGGGAUCCGUGCCGUAGCUAACGCAUUAAGUACCC
rnacentral:rRNA from 1 species